rnacentral:rRNA from 1 species
UUUCGAAUCAUUCACAAUGGGCGAAAGCCUGAUGGUGCGACGCCGCGUGAGGGAUGAAGGUCUUCGGAUUGUAAACCUCUGUCACUGGGGAAGAAACGCUUCAUGUUAAUAGCAUGAAGCCUGACUUAACCCAGAGAGGAAGCAGUGGCUAACUCUGUGCCAGCAGCCGCGGUAAUACAGAGACUGCAAGCGUUAUUCGGAUUCACUGGGCGUAAAGGGUGCGCAGGCGGCCGUGUGUGUUAGGUGUGAAAGCCCGGGGCUUAACCCCGGAAUUGCGCCUAAAACUACAUGGCUAGAGCAUUGGAGAGGGUAGCGGAAUUCACGGUGUAGCAGUGAAAUGCGUAGAUAUCGUGAGGAACACCAGAGGCGAAGGCGGCUACCUGGACAAUUGCUGACGCUCAGGCACGAAAGCGUGGGGAGCAAAAG